rnacentral:rRNA from 1 species
AAGUCGUAACAAGGUUUCCGUAGGUGAACCUGCGGAAGGAUCAUUAUCGUAACAAUGGGGGUGCAAGGGCUGUCGCUGACCUUCAAAAGGUUGUGCACGCCCAAGUGCCCUCACACAUCCAUCUCACCCCUUUGUGCAUCACCGCGUGGGUCUCCUUUUUGCAAAGGAGCUCACGUUUUCACACAAAACUUGAUACAGUGUAGAAUGUUAUCUUUGCGGUCACACGCAAUCAAUACAACUUUCAACAACGGAUCUCUUGGCUCUCGCAUCGAUGAAGAACGCAGCGAAAUGCGAUACGUAAUGUGAAUUGCAGAAUUCAGUGAAUCAUCGAAUCUUUGAACGCACCUUGCGCCCCUUGGCAUUCCGAGGGGCACACCCGUUUGAGUGUCGUGAAAUCCUCAAAAAUCYUUAUUGGGCUUUACUGAAAAGGAUUUUUGGACUUGGAGGUUUAAUGCUUGCCUUUCACCUGUGAAAGUGAGCUCCUCUCAAAUGAAUUAGUGGGGUCYGCUUUGCCCGAUCCUUGACGUGAUAAGAUGUUUCUACGUUUUGGAUUUUGGCACUGUUCCUUGGAUGCCUGCUUCUAACUGUCUCAUGGACAAUGGAUGGUGCUCUGGUCCCUUGCCUUCUAACGUUGGUGGGGAGGCUGGACCCACGAAUGAAAACCUUGACCUCAAAUCGGGUGAGACUACCYGCUGAACUUAA